rnacentral:rRNA from 1 species
UUAAGCGACUAAGCGUACACGGUGGAUGCCUAGGCAGUCAGAGGCGAUGAAGGGCGUGCUAAUCUGCGAUAAGCGUCGGUAAGCUGAUAUGAAGCGUUACAACCGACGAUACCCGAAUGGGGAAACCCAGUGCAAUUCGUUGCACUAUUGCAUGGUGAAUACAUAGCCAUGCAAGGCGAACCGGGGGAACUGAAACAUCUAAGUACCCCGAGGAAAAGAAAUCAACCGAGAUUCCCCUAGUAGCGGCGAGCGAACGGGGAAGAGCCCAGAGUCUGAAUCAGUUUGUGUGUUAGUGGAAGCGUCUGGAAAGUCGCAGGGUACAGGGUGAUACUCCCGUACACAAAAACACACUUGCUGUGAACUCGAUGAGUAGGGCGGGACACGUGACAUCCUGUCUGAAUAUGGGGGGACCAUCCUCCAAGGCUAAAUACUCCUGACUGACCGAUAGUGAACCAGUACCGUGAGGGAAAGGCGAAAAGAACCCCGGCGAGGGGAGUGAAAUAGAACCUGAAACCGUGUACGUACAAGCAGUGGGAGCCUUGAUUUAUCAGGGUGACUGCGUACCUUUUGUAUAAUGGGUCAGCGACUUAUAUUUUGUAGCAAGGUUAACCGAAUAGGGGAGCCGUAGGGAAACCGAGUCUUAACUGGGCGUCUAGUUGCAAGGUAUAGACCCGAAACCCGGUGAUCUAGCCAUGGGCAGGUUGAAGGUUGGGUAACACUAACUGGAGGACCGAACCGACUAAUGUUGAAAAAUUAGCGGAUGACUUGUGGCUGGGGGUGAAAGGCCAAUCAAACCGGGAGAUAGCUGGUUCUCCCCGAAAGCUAUUUAGGUAGCGCCUCGUGAACUCAUCUUCGGGGGUAGAGCACUGUUUCGGCUAGGGGGUCAUCCCGACUUACCAAACCGAUGCAAACUCCGAAUACCGAAGAAUGUUAUCACGGGAGACACACGGCGGGUGCUAACGUCCGUCGUGAAGAGGGAAACAACCCAGACCGCCAGCUAAGGUCCCAAAGUCAUGGUUAAGUGGGAAACGAUGUGGGAAGGCAUAGACAGCCAGGAUGUUGGCUUAGAAGCAGCCAUCAUUUAAAGAAAGCGUAAUAGCUCACUGGUCGAGUCGGCCUGCGCGGAAGAUGUAACGGGGCUAAACCAUGCACCGAAGCUGCGGCAGCGACACUUAGGUGUUGUUGGGUAGGGGAGCGUUCUGUAAGCCGUUGAAGGUGACCUGUGAGGGUUGCUGGAGGUAUCAGAAGUGCGAAUGCUGACAUAAGUAACGAUAAUGGGGGUGAAAAACCCGCACGCCGGAAGACCAAGGGUUCCUGUCCAACGUUAAUCGGGGCAGGGUGAGUCGACCCCUAAGGCGAGGCUGAAAAGCGUAGUCGAUGGGAAACAGGUUAAUAUUCCUGUACUUGGUGUUACUGCGAAGGGGGGACGGAGAAGGCUAGGCUAGCCGGGCGACGGUUGUCCCGGUUUAAGCAUGUAGGCGGAGUGACUUGGUAAAUCCGGUUGCUUAUCAACGCUGAGGUGUGAUGACGAGUCACUACGGUGAUGAAGUAGUUGAUGCCAAGCUUCCAGGAAAAGCCUCUAAGCAUCAGGUAACAUUAAAUCGUACCCCAAACCGACACAGGUGGUCAGGUAGAGAAUACUCAGGCGCUUGAGAGAACUCGGGUGAAGGAACUAGGCAAAAUGGUGCCGUAACUUCGGGAGAAGGCACGCUGGCAUUAGGUAAAGGGACUUGCUCCCGGCGCCGAAGCCAGUCGCAGAUACCAGCUGGCUGCAACUGUUUAAUAAAAACACAGCACUGUGCAAACACGAAAGUGGACGUAUACGGUGUGACGCCUGCCCGGUGCUGGAAGGUUAAUUGAUGGGGUCAGCCGCAAGGCGAAGCUCUUGAUCGAAGCCCCAGUAAACGGCGGCCGUAACUAUAACGGUCCUAAGGUAGCGAAAUUCCUUGUCGGGUAAGUUCCGACCUGCACGAAUGGCGUAAUGAUGGCCAGGCUGUCUCCACCCGAGACUCAGUGAAAUUGAACUCGCUGUGAAGAUGCAGUGUACCCGCGGCAAGACGGAAAGACCCCGUGAACCUUUACUAUAGCUUGACACUGAACAUUGAGCCUUGAUGUGUAGGAUAGGUGGGAGGCAUCGAAGCGUGGACGCCAGUCUGCGUGGAGCCAACCUUGAAAUACCACCCUUUAAUGUUUGAUGUUCUAACUCGGCCCCGUAAUCCGGGGUGAGGACAGUGUCUGGUGGGUAGUUUGACUGGGGCGGUCUCCUCCCAAAGAGUAACGGAGGAGCACGAAGGUUAGCUAAUCACGGUCGGACAUCGUGAGGUUAGUGCAAAGGCAUAAGCUAGCUUGACUGCGAGAGUGACGGCUCGAGCAGGUACGAAAGUAGGUCUUAGUGAUCCGGUGGUUCUGAAUGGAAGGGCCAUCGCUCAACGGAUAAAAGGUACUCCGGGGAUAACAGGCUGAUACCGCCCAAGAGUUCAUAUCGACGGCGGUGUUUGGCACCUCGAUGUCGGCUCAUCACAUCCUGGGGCUGAAGUAGGUCCCAAGGGUAUGGCUGUUCGCCAUUUAAAGUGGUACGCGAGCUGGGUUUAGAACGUCGUGAGACAGUUCGGUCCCUAUCUGCCGUGGGCGUUGGAAGAUUGAGAGGGGCUGCUCCUAGUACGAGAGGACCGGAGUGGACGAAUCACUGGUGUUCGGGUUGUCAUGCCAAUGGCAUUGCCCGGUAGCUAAAUUCGGAAGAGAUAACCGCUGAAAGCAUCUAAGCGGGAAACUUGCCUCGAGAUGAGUCUUCCCUGGGGCUUUAAGCCCCCUGAAGGAACGUUAAAGACUAUGACGUUGAUAGGCUGGGUGUGUAAGUGCAGCGAUGCAUUGAGCUAACCAGUACUAAUGAUCCGUGAGGCUUAACCUU